GAGCCCAGCGCACCGCGGGGAGGAGGGUGCGCUUCGCAGGGCGCUCGGUACUCGGUCGGGUGCCGCAGGGGCCGCAGAGGCUGCUGAGGCGGCGCGGAUCCUGCUCUGGGAGCUGCGCUCCGUGGCCUACACCCUGGCGGGCGCGCGCUGACCCGCUUGGUUACUCCACGUUGCUGCCGCCGCCGCUUGCAAACGCUUCCAGCCUCCAGCUCCCUCCUUCUCCUGCUCCUCCUUCUCUUGCUCCAAACGCCAACCCAGCCACAGACGAUCAGCCGUCGCGGUUGCGUUCACCCCCUGCGGAUCACAACGGCAGCCCUUGCGACACCCUGGCUGGGGAGUUUUAUUCCUGAGGGGGUUGCGCAGGGGCUCCCUUGGACUCCCACCCUUUCCCAACCUCUGCUGGCUUCUCCCCAACGUGGAAUUGCUCGCUUAGGGAGCUUCUGGAGCUCCGCUCGGAGCGAACCUUCUGCUGCCAGCAGAUAACAUCACGAUCUUGCCGGGGAGGGGAGAUUUAUAAGUUCUCUCUGAACCACGUGUCUGCCUUCAACAAAGUGACGUGCUAGGAUUACAGUCAGAAGUCCUCUCGUUACUUAGACCACGAGCUCUCCCCGAACCGUUGAGGGAGUGUGGAAAUGAGGACCGCUGUGGGUAAGGGAGGAAGGAGGUGGAAUGUGCGCCCUGACAACAGUGAUUUACGUUACUCAAAGUCAACAUUUUCAUUUCGGCAUGACUCUGCAGCCAUACUGACCAGACAGAUGAUUUAAACUGGAAACUCUGUUGAAUGUACUCCCAAACCCAAGAUCUCUAUACUGUUCUCUACUUCAGAUGUUCCUGAGUUCAGAAAAGUCACAAAGAACUUUCUAUCACUUUUGGAAUUUAUACUUCAGUUGUGUAUGGGGCCUAGGUUAUUAGUAGAGCACUGAAUAAAUAAAAUAAUAAUAGCUAACAUAUACUACACUUAGUAA
rnacentral:lncRNA from 1 species